rfam:Candidatus Blackburnbacteria bacterium RIFCSPHIGHO2_01_FTLL_43_15b rifcsphigho2_01_scaffold_3050, whole genome shotgun sequence.
GCGGGUAUAGUACAAUGGUAGUACACCUGGUUGCCAAUCAGGGUACAGGGGUUCGAUUCCCCUUACCCGCU